GGCAUAGGAAGCCUGGAGGUUGGGGCCUGAGGGCUUGGGGGUCCCAGCUGUGACCACCUGUGAACUGUGAGAAUAGGUGUGGACGAAGCAGUUAGGCCCCUCUGAGCCUCAAUUUCCAAGUCUGUCAGUGGAGACAGCUCCGCAUCCCCAGCAGGGCUGUGGAAGCCCAAGGCAUUGGGAGAGGAGCUUUGCCUGUCAGCUCCAGCCAAGAUCAAUCAAGCUGUUUCCAUUGAGGACUGUUUUUAAACUGAGAUGAUAUUCACAUGUAAAGUUCAUCCUUCUAAAAUG